rnacentral:rRNA from 1 species
AGUGAACGCUGGCGGCAGGCCUAACACAUGCAAGUCGAACGGCAGCACAGUAAGAGCUUGCUCUUACGGGUGGCGAGUGGUGGACGGGUGAGGAAUAAACCGGCAUCUACUUUUUCGUGGGGGCUAAAGUAGGGAAAUAUACGCUAAUACCGCAUACGAACUCAGGGUGAAAGCCGGGGAACUUCGGACCUCGCGCGAUUGCAUGCGCCGAUGUCGGUUUUGAUGGUUGGAGGGGAAAAGGCCCACUAAGGCGACGAUCCGAAGCUGGUCUGGGAGGAGGAUCGGCCACACGGGAAGGGGAACGCGCACCAUGCGCCUACGGAAGGCAGCAGUGGGGAAUAUGGGACAAUGGGCGCAAGCCUGAUCCAACCGGACCGCGUGGGUGAAAAAGGCCUUGGGGGUGUAAAGCCCGUUUGUGGGGAAAGAAAAGCAGCAGGUAAGUACCCCGCUGUUGUGACGGUACCCAAAGAAUAAGCACCGGCUAACUUCGUG